rnacentral:rRNA from 1 species
GUGGGGAAUCUUCCACAAUGGACGAAAGUCUGAUGGAGCAACGCCGCGUGAAUGAAGAAGGCCUUCGGGUCGUAAAGUUCUGUCUUUAGGGACGAAUGGGUAUGCGCAAAUAGUGUAUGCUUUGACGGUACCUUAGGAGGAAGCUCCGGCUAACUACGUGCCAGCAGCCGCGGUAAUACGUAGGGAGCAAGCGUUGUCCGGAAUUACUGGGCGUAAAGGGCGCGUAGGCGGGAAUGCAAGUCAGAUGUGAAAACUCCGGGCUCAACUUGGAGAUUGCAUUUGAAACUGUGUUUCUUGAGGGCAGGAGAGGGAAGUGGAAUUCCUAGUGUAGCGGUGAAAUGCGUAGAUAUUAGGAGGAACACCAGUGGCGAAGGCGACUUUCUGGACUGUACCUGACGCUGAGGCGCGAAAGCGUGGGUAGCAAACGGGAUUAGAAACCCCAGUAGUCC